rnacentral:lncRNA from 1 species
CGGAGCUACGGAACUCAAAAUUAAGAUCCGUAAAUUUUCCCUGAAACAAGACUCAUAUACCUUCUUACCAUAAAAUUUCAGAAUUUUUGGUUCAGCUAAUUAGUACAAUUUGUUCUCUAAAGUUUCCCCUAUUUCACUCCUUGACAUUUUUUACCUCUCUUCACUAAAAGUCACUUAUCUCUUAGUACAGAAUUCAAAU